UUCCGGUUGAUCCUGCCGGACCCGACUGCUAUCAGAGUAGGACUAAGCCAUGCGAGUCGACGUAGCAAUGCGUGGCGAACGGCUCAGUAACACGUAGUCAACAUGCCCAAGGGUCGUGGAUAACCUCGGGAAACUGAGAAUAAACCACGAUAGGUCAUGAUUUCUGGAGUGGAUCAUGGCUCAAAUCUACAUGGCCCCUGGAUUGGACUGCGGCCGAUCAGGCAGUUGGUGAGGUAAAGGCCCACCAAACCUAUAACCGGUACGGGCUCUGAGAGGAGAAGCCCGGAGAUGGGCACUGAGACAAGGGCCCAGGCCCUAUGGGGCGCAGCAGGCGCGAAACCUCUGCAAUAGGCGAAAGCCUGACAGGGUUACUCUGAGUGACUUUCGCUAAGAAAGUCUUUUGGCACCUCUAAAAAGGGUGCAGAAUAAGGGGUGGGCAAGUCUGGUGUCAGCCGCCGCGGUAAUACCAGCACCCCGAGUGGUCGGGACGAUUAUUGGGCCUAAAGCAUCCGUAGCCGGUUCUGCAAGUCCCCCGUUAAAUCCAGCUGCUCAACAGAUGGGCCGCGGAGGAUACUACAGAGCUAGGAGGCAGGAGAGGCAAGCGGUACUCAGUGGGUAGGGGUAAAAUCCGUUGAUCCAUUGAAGACCACCAGUGGCGAAGGCGGCUUGCCAGAACGCGCUCGACGGUGAGGGAUGAAAGCUGGGGGAGCAAACCGGAUUAGAUACCCGGGUAGUCCCAG
rnacentral:rRNA from 1 species